rnacentral:tRNA from 3 species
GUCCUCGUAGUUCAAUGGAUAGAACGGCUCACUCCUAACGAGCUGAUCCAGGUUCGACUCCCGGCGAGGACACCA